rnacentral:rRNA from 1 species
UACGUAGGAUGCAAGCGUUGUCCGGAAUUAUUGGGCGUAAAGAGCGCGCAGGCGGUUUUACAAGUCAGACGUGAAAGAGGCCGGCUUAACCGGCAAGGGUCAUUUGAAACUGUCAGACUAGAGUGCAGCAGAGGAUAGUGGAAUUCCCGGUGUAGUGGUGAAAUGCGUAGAUAUCGGAAGGAACGCCGGUGGCGAAAGCGACGUGCUGGACCUCUUCUGACGCUGAGGCGCGAAAGCCAGGGGAGCAAACGGG